UAUACUGUGGACAGACUAGGGAGUGAGAUAUACUGUGGACAGACUGAGGGGGAGAGUUAUACUGGGGAAUGAGAUAUACUGUGGACAGACUGAGGGGGUGAGUUAUACUGGGGAGUGAGAUAUACUGUGGAUUGACUGAGGGGAGAAGUUAUACUGGGGAGUGAGAUAUACUGUGGAUUGACUGAGGGGGUAGUUAUACUGGGGAGUGAGAUAUACUGUGGACAGACUAGGGAGUGAGAUAUACUGUGGACAGACUGAGGGGAGAGUUAUACUGGGGAGUGAGAAAUACUGUGGACACACUAGGGAGUGAGAUAUACUGUGGACAGACUGAGGGGAGAGUUAUACUGGG
ensembl:lncRNA